UACGUAGGGUGCGAGCGUUAAUCGGAAUUACUGGGCGUAAAGCGUGCGCAGGCGGUCUGUUAAGACAGUUGUGAAAUCCCCGAGCUCAACCUGGGAACUGCAUCUGUGACUGCAUAGCUAGAGUACGGUAGAGGGGGGAUGGAAUUCCGCGUGUAGCAGUGAAAAUGCGUAGAUAUGCGGAGGAACACCGAUGGCGAAGGCAAUCCCCCUGGACCUGUACUGAC
rnacentral:rRNA from 1 species